GACAGAGGGUGCAAACGUUGUUCGGAAUUACUGGGCGUAAAGCGCGUGUAGGCUGCUCAGAAAGUUGGAUGUGAAAGCCCUGGGCUUAACCUAGGAAGUGCAUUCAAAACUACUGAGCUGGAGUCCUGGAGAGGAAGGCGGAAUUCUCGGUGUAGAGGUGAAAUUCGUAGAUAUCGAGAGGAACACCGGUGGCGAAGGCGGCGACCUGGGCCAAUAUUGACGCUGAGGUGCGAAAGCGUGGGGAGCAAACAGG
rnacentral:rRNA from 1 species